UACAGAGGUCUCAAGCGUUGUUCGGAUUCAUUGGGCGUAAAGGGUGCGUAGGCGGCGCGGUAAGUCGGGUGUGAAAUCUUGGAGCUCAACUCCAGAACUGCCUUCGAUACUGAGAGUCUCGAGUCCGGGAGAGGUGAGUGGAACUGCGAGUGUAGAGGUGAAAUUCGUAGAUAUUCGCAAGAACACCAGUGGCGAAGGCGGCUCACUGGCCCGGUACUGACGCUGAGGUGCGAAAGCGUGGGGAGCAAACAGG
rnacentral:rRNA from 1 species